UACGUAGGGUGCAAGCGUUAAUCAGAAUUACUGGGCGUAAAGCGUGCGCAGGCGGUUUUGUAAGUCUGAUGUGAAAUCCCCGGGCUCAACCUGGGAAUUGCGUUGGAGACUGCAAGGCUAGAAUCUGGCAGAGGGGGGUAGAAUUCCACGUGUAGCAGUGAAAUGCGUAGAGAUGUGGAGGAACACCGAUGGCGAAGGCAGCCCCCUGGGUCAAGAUUGACGCUCAUGCACGAAAGCGUGGGGAGCAAACAGG
rnacentral:rRNA from 1 species